rnacentral:lncRNA from 1 species
GCGGUCCCAGGUUCUUCUCUUCACUGCACGCUCUUGCCACUCUUCUUUUCUCUCCUGCCCGUGUUCUUCCUGCCGCCUGACCUGGCCCGCCCGCCUUUCCAGUCUGGCCGGGCGGGGGCCUGAAGCACGGCGGCUCGGGCCGUGGGACCGUGGUCACACCCUUUCCAGAAAUUCUUGGCUGGUAACCGCGAAACCGACUGGAGCAGGAGCUGGGAGAACUGGAGAAAACUGCUCUAAUCUCACUUGACUCCAGCUAGGAGCUGAUGCUGCAUCGUAAUAACAUUUGCAGAGCGCUUUCACAGGCCCUGGAGUGACUUGUCUGAGAUUCCUCCAGAACUGAGCCCUUUGUUGGAACCAUACCCCAGCCCAUGGUCCCAUGACUAGGUGGAUAGUACUCCUUGUACCUCCUGCAACCCAGAACCCUGGCUGACCACUUUGAAGGAGGAUGCUCCAGCAGGUAAAACCUCAACCUUA